AAAGCAAAUGUCAAAAGUAGGAUUCUUUUUUUUUCCCAAAGGUCAAAACACUUAUUAGAUGCAAAUGUUAUGUUGUUAAUUUUCCACAGAAGCAUUUCCUGCUGUUCUUAGUAGGGAUACACUGUGAUUACAUGUGGCAGAGGAGAUGAAGUAUAUAAUAGAUGGAGAACUUAAAAUGCUUAACAUUAACAGCUGCUUGUGGAAUACAGCUGCUAAGCAUUUGUAACAUUGACAACCUAAAGCCAGUUUUUGGCUCAAAUAGGAGACAAUACACAUUUGACCCUAGGUUACUUUCCUUACUGUUUGCCAAAGGGUGUGAUUAUCCAUGAAAUUAAGUACUCAAUUUGUACCUCCAUGCUGUCCCACUAAACUUACACUGCCAUUCCUGUUAAGCAGUUUAUUGAAAGCUGCCUUCCCCUCCACCUAGAGGGGUGUUCAGGGCUUGAAAGUUGGCAGUCUGGGACCUGCUAGAUUUAGUAACACACAAGAAUUCCAAACCCCAGGAACUUACUCCUAACAGAAAGCUGUAACCUAGGGAGAAUGAGGAAACAGCUUUCCAAUGGUACAACACCCAACGAGGCCAGCUAGCCUCACCAGUACUGAAAUCUGAAGUAAUAGAAAACCUGAACAGUAGUUUCUGUAUACCUGCCUUACUAUCUUGCUUUAGGGAGUCACUUUGGAAUUAGGACACUACUAUUAAAGACAAAGGGAUAGUUGUACAAACUCAGCUUCCUGGAUAUGGCAUAGACUUGUCACUUGUUAAGGAUUACACCCCAUUCACAGGUGCCUCUACUACUGACAACAUAGCUCUGCUGCCAAGAGCCAUAUGCCAUUGUGUGUGUGAAUAUGUGUAAUCAAUCUCUGAACUGCCUUAUCACAAGAUUGUCACUCCACUGUGAGAGGAGGUAAGAUUUUAUUUUAAAAUAAAAUGGUUAUACAAGACUAGUCAAAAUCA